rnacentral:rRNA from 1 species
GACAAACGCUGGCGGCGUGCCUAAUACAUGCAAGUCGAACGACGAAAGCCUUCGGGCAAGUAAGAGUGGCGCACGGGCGAGGAACACGUAGAUAAUCUGCCCUUCAGUGGGGAAUAACUCUCCGAAAGGAGUGCUAAUACCGCAUAAGACCACAAGCUCUGCGGAGCAAGGGGUUAAAGGAUUUAUUCGCUGAAGGAUGAGUCUGCGUCCGAUUAGCUAGUUGGUGAGGUAAUGGCUUACCAAGGCAAUGAUCGGUAGAUGGUCUGAGAGGAUGAUCAUCCGCACUGGAACUGAGACACGGUCCAGACUCCUACGGGAGGCAGCAGUAGGGAAUAUUGCACAAUGGGGGAAACCCUGAUGCAGCAACGCCGCGUGAGUGAUGAAGGCUCUAGGGUCGUAAAGCUCUGUCGUAUGGGAAGAAAAAAAUGACGGUACCAUACAAGAAAGGACCGGCCAACUUCGUGCCAGCCGCCGCCGUAA